ACCUAAGGCCACACCACCCUGAAAGUGUCUGAUCUCAGAAGCAAUCCAGGGCCGGGCCUGGUUAGUACUUGGAUGGGAGACCGCCCGGGAAUACCAGGUGUCAUAGAAU
rnacentral:rRNA from 1 species